UACAGAGGUCCCAAGCGUUGUUCGGAUUCACUGGGCGUAAAGCGUGCGCAGGCGGCUUGUUAAGUCCGUUGUGAAAGCCCCGAGCUCAACUUGGGAAUUGCAGUGGAUACUGGCAGGCUGGAGUACGGUAGAGGAAGGUGGAAUUCCCGGUGUAGCAGUGAAAUGCGUAGAUAUCGGGAGGAACACCAGUGGCGAAGGCGGCCUUCUGGACCAGUACUGACGCUCAUGCACGAAAGCGUGGGGAGCAAACAGG
rnacentral:rRNA from 1 species